rnacentral:rRNA from 1 species
AUUGCACGCUGGCGGCAGGCCUAACACAUGCAAGUCGAACGAGUGGCGGACGGGAGAGUAAAGUAUUGGAAACUGCCUGAUGGAGGGGGAUAACAACUGGAAACGGUAGCUAAUACCGCAUAACAUCAGAUGUGCCCAGAUGGGAUUAUCUUGUUGGUGGGGUAACGGCUCACAAAGGCAACGAUCCCUAGCUGGUCUGAGAGGAGGACAAGCCACACUGGAACUGAUACACGGUCCAGACUCGUACGGGAGGCAGCAGUGGGGAAUAUUGCACAAUGGGCGCAAGCCUGAUGCAGCCAUGCCGCGUGUAUGAAGAAGGCCUUCGGGUUGUAAAGUACUUUCAGCGGGGAGGCGUUACCCGCAGAAGAAGCACCGGCUAACUCCGUGCCAGCAGCCGCGGUAAUUC